rnacentral:rRNA from 1 species
AGUGACCUGCCCUCAGCUCUGGGAUAAGCCUGGGAAACUGGGUCUAAUACCGGGUAGGACCUCUCAUCGCAUGGUGGGUGGUGGAAAGCCAGUUACUUUUGUUUCUGGCGGCUGGGGAUGGGCCCGCGGCCUAUCAGCUUGUUGGUGGGGUGAUGGCCUACCAAGGCGACGACGGGUAGCCGGCCUGAGAGGGCGACCGGCCACACUGGGACUGAAACACGGCCCAUACUCCUACGGGAGGCAGCAGUGGGAAUAUUGCGCAAUGGACGGAAGCCUGACGCAGCGACGCCGCGUGGGGGAUGACGGCCUUCGGGUUGUAAACCUCUUUCGACCUUGACGAAGUCCCCAGGGUAAUGUCUGGGGGUGACGGUAGGGGUAGAAGAACCACCUGCCAACUACGUGCCAGCAGCCGCGGUAAUACGUAGGGUGCGAGCGUUGUCCGGAAUUAUUGGGCGUAAAGAGCUCGUAGGCGGUCUGUCUCGUCGGUCGUGAAAACUUGGGGCUUAACCCUGAGCUUGCGGUCGAUACGGGCAUGACUGGAGUUCGGCAGGGGAGACUGGAAUUCCUGGUGUAGCGGUGAAAUGCGCAGAUAUCAUGAGGAACACCGGUGGCGAAUGCGGGUCUCUGGGCCGAUACUGACGCUGAGGAGCGAAAGCGUGG